CCUGGGGAGAGGGAGCCACAGCUGAGCCCCUGGGGGAUCAAGGAGCAGUGGCUCAGAAGCCAAGGGCCAGUGUUGGGCAGGGCUGGGGUACCACUGACUGGGGUCACUUCCUGUAGGGUGUAGAAUAAGGUGCUGUCCUUGUCACGGUCCGUGGCCUGUAGUUCUGCCUCAGGGAUGACCGUAGAGUUCACUUUGGUGUCCUGGGGGCAGACACAGGCAUGGCCUCUGUGGACCAGUGUCCUGGAGGAGCCCCUAGCCACUAGCCCUCUGGGCCCACAUCCGCCCAGUGCCCAGCCCAGGCAGUGCCAGCUCUGGCUCCGCCCGACUCACCUCCUGCACGUCCUGCUCCUUGGUGGUGAAGGGGAACUCUGGGGCGUUGUCGUUGACAUCCAGCACCACCACAAACACCCUCAGCUGCGUCACCUGGGGGUCGACAGCCUUGGCCACAGCCCUCCCGGCUGCCUGCCUCACUCCUGCCUCACUCCUGUCCAUCCACCCGGGUGGUCGUCCAUUCGCCCACUUUCCCUUCUGCUUGUUUGUUUGAAGGUGAUGGUGACCCAGCAGGGCAGGGCCCAUCACCAGGGACCAGACUCAGCCCUGGGGCUCCCAGACCACACAGGUAGGUUACCAAGGUGGCCGGAGGUGGCAAGCACUCCGGGGACAGAUAAGUGGCCUGAGGAGGCUACCAGCAGAACCUCAAAAGAGGACCCUGGGGGCUGGGCUGGGGCUCGGAGGUGGAGCACUCGGCUCGCACGCGUGAGGCACUGGGUUCCCUCCUCAGCACCACGUGGAUAUGAGAUAAAGACAUGGUGUCCACCUUUCACUAAAAAAUAGAUCUAGAUAGAUAAAAAGAGGACACGUGUUAGAUGUCACGCUUCCUCAAGAACAACGAAGCAGGGAGAGGGGCCUUCAGAGUGGAAGGCACCUGCAGGGAGAUCGCCAGCCCCUGGGUUGGACUUUGCUCCCAUUCAGACAAGCCGAGGCAGACUCUCAGAGGCCCAGGACAGGUGGACACACCAGGGUUCAGAUGGCGAGGGGAACCGCCCUUCUCCGGUGGACAGGGCAGGAGAAUGUGUCUUGUUUUCUUUGUGGUGCUGGAGAUGGAACCCAGGUCCCCUCACACAGGAGGCAAAGGCCAGCUCUCUGCCACUGAGCUGUGCUUAAAAUGAAGGGUCCCGACCUAUUUUUUAAAAGUUUUUUUAAAUAUAUAUUUUUUAGUUGUAGAUGGACACCAGACCUUAUUUUAUCUGUGGAUUUUUAUGUGGUGCUGAGGAUGGAACUCAGUGCCUCACACCUGCUAGGCAAGUGCUCUGCCACUGAGCCAGCCCCAGCCCCAGGUGCCCACCUAUUAGAGACGACUGCUGAGAUACUUGUGGGGACUGCGGCGGUGUGGCCUGGUGCAGGGCAGGGGCUGCUCACGGUGGAGCUGGGGUGGGGCAGCUCCUGUGGCUUUCCAGCUUGUGGGAGUGUAGGAGGAGGGCUGCCACUGCAGCACAGCAGGGUGGAUGGAGUCCACCAAAGAGGAAAGGUUUCCCUGCCCACCUGAGCAGGUGAGGGGACGGGCGCACCAGGCCAGGCCACACACCCAGCCUGGCCCACCACAGCAGCCCUUGGGCUUGGACUCCUAGUGCGAAGGCAGCUGUGGAAGUGCUGGGCUGUGCCGGGCGGGGCUGGGUCUCCUAGGCUCUCCUGAGACCUCCCACCCAGAGAGGGGACGGAUGGACCAGGGGCAAGAGAGGAAAGGGACCAGUAGGAAGGUUCCAGAAAGGGGAAGCUGGUGACCAAGGCCCUGGUGGGAUGUGGAGGUAGGAAGGGGGGGUUCUGGGGCUGCCUGAGGCGGAGCCCACACUUGCUCCUGAGGGCGGGCUAGUGGGAAGGAAGCCUGGUGGAGCAGUCAGCAGGCCAGGGUGCUUCCAGGUGCUGGGGCCAGGGGCUCAGGGGAGUCUCGGGAGCUUGUUGGGCCAAUGUCCGUGACAGUGUGUCCGCAGCUGGGUUUGUGAGUCUGAAACUCAGGUCCGAGUCUGGGCUGGAGGAAGUGAGGGUGUAGCCGGGAGGGCUGGAGUUUGGAAACACUCCCUGGGUGAGGUCACAGAGGAGGGCCCAGGGCCAGGGAGACAGGUGCACUCACCACGGUGUCCCCCCUCUUGCACUCCAGGUGUGCCUCCAGCAUCGUAUUCUCCUGUGGAGGCAAGUCGGUCUUGCAGGUCACCUGCCUGGUGGUGGCACACGUCCCACUCCACAGGCCAGGAGCCCGAGGCUGAGGGCAGAGCUCGCCCAGGUGGUCAUGGGUGGAUCCGAAAUGCGGAUGGGGUGGACGAGGAUCCGAGGGUCACCUGCUGGCCAUCUGGGACGGAGAUGUUCACCAGGGCUUCCGUGAUGUUUUCAUUCUCCUGCACUUGGAGGAAGGUCUUGUCCACCGAGCAGACUGGGAAGUUGGAGAGGACAGGUCCAGCCACAUUCCUUCUCGUCCUGUCUCCACCCCACACUGGGAAGUGAACCCAGGAGUGCUCCACCACCGAGCUCCAAAACCAGUGCUCUUAUUCCUUCCUGAGUUCUGCUGGAGUGACAGAGCCUCUUCACCGUCUCAAACAGUGGCAGGUGGGAGACAAUGGGGGCAGGAAGAAGCUCUGUGUCCCACUCUAGGCCCAAGGCCACCCUGCUCCGGGUCUCGGUUCUGUGCCAGCAAUGCCCCAGUGGCUGUGCCGAGUUCUCUUGCUCAAGCCUUCAGGGGGAGGGAAGGCUGCUGGCUGUGCCCAGGGCUGCCCAAAGGCACCAGCCGCCCGUCCCACCCCACAGCCCAGACUCUCCAGUCCUUGUGGUGUGAGUACCACCCGUUUCUCUGCCAGUCCACACCCUGAAAUCUUUCAAGUCAGGACCCUCCCCUCCUGAUGGGCUGGUGCUGCACGUCUCUGCCGUCCCAGGGAGCCAGUGCUGGAGAAGGCGAUGGAGUGAUGCACUUGGAGACCCACCUAGAGUUCAGCCUUUUAGCCAAGGGGCCCCAGAAAACAUCACUCGGGUCUGGCGUCACCCCAACCUGAAGUCCACAGAGAAGAUCAUCUCCCUAAGACGUUUUCAUGUACUUUCUUCCUGUGCUCUUUUAUCAUCUGCCAGGGACGGUUCUGGUCCUCCACGCUCACAGCCUCCUCGGGCCACCUCUUUUUUUAAAUAGAUGCACACCAGGUCUUUAUUUUAUGUGGUGCUGAGGAUUGAACCCAGUACCUCACACUUGCGAGGCGGGCGCUCUACAACUGAGCUGCAGCCCCAGCCCUGGCCACCUCUUAAUGUGUCUUUCAGGUGACUCUAGUGUAGUUCUCCUGUUGGGGAUGCCCCCCACCCCCGCCACCGGAACCGGCUCCUGUAGUCGGGCGCUGGCCGUGUCAUUUCUUGAGUGAGUUCUCGGUAGCCCCUGAGGUCUGCGCGGUCGUCACUGGUCGCGGGGACUAAGGGCUAAGGGUAGCCAGGUGGGCCGGGUACGCGGGGCCGGGCUGCAGCGUUGCUGAGGAUCUGGAGAGUGUUGGAGGAGGAUGAGCGCGCGACUCGGGCGCCAGGCGGGGUUGCACCGCCCAGGCCAGACGGGGUUCGGGGCAGGGAGAGAGACAGCCCUGGAGCCUCGGGGAUUGGGAAGAAGGAGACGCCCAAAGCGGCUUUCGGCGGAGCCAGAGCUCGGGUCUUCGGGCGCCCGGCCGGUGGACAGAGCGGAAGGAGACGCGGAUCCGCCUCGGAGCCAGGCGCUUCUAGGAGGUACCCGGAGAGGGGUGCCAGGCGGGGGUCGAUACCCACGCACACCGGGUCUGGUUCGGUCGACCCGCCUUCCCAGCUGGGAUCUCGAGUGUAGACCCGCGCACCGCCCGAUGCCGUCUGGGGCUGCCUGUGCCAAUCACCUCCCUCAGUUCUCAUCGCGCGGCCGCUGCUUUCGCCUGGCUGCGGGACUCACCGAGCGCAAAACCCCGAGAUCUCGAGACACGCACGCGGCGGGGCGCCGCUUGGGCCCCCUGAUCCGGGGCG